GCCCGUCGCUCCUACCGAUUGGAUGACUCGGUGAAAUCACCGGAUGCUUACGAGCAGAAAGUGAUUAAAUCACGUUAUCUAGAGGAAGGAGAAGUCGUAACAAGGGUAACGGUAGGUGAACCUGCCGUUGGAUCAGUUCUAGUUUUAAUAACUAACACCAACUUCUUUUAUUAAACAAAAACCAAUACAAAAUUAAAAACUAACUUCAUCAAAAACCAAGUCUCUAAGCAAUGGAUGUCUUGGCUCCUCACACGAUGAAGAACGUGGCAUAAUGUGUUAAGUAACCGGAGUUGCAAACAUCAUGACAGGUUAAUCUUUGAAUGCAAAUUGCGCUAAACUCGAUCUCGGUCGAGAAGCAUGGGUGUGACAGUACUACAUCUUUUAUAAUAAUUCUUAUUCUAAGCGAAUAAGUAAAUAAUAUAUAAGACAAACAACACGUAGUCUGCCAUACGCAGGAAGACCCGCUGAACUGAAGCAUCUCAUUAAGCGG
rnacentral:rRNA from 1 species